AAACCAACAGGGWUUGCCUUAGUAGCGGCGAGUGAAGCGGCAAAAGCUCAAAUUUGAAAUCUGGCACUUUCAGUGUCCGAGUUGUAAUUUGAAGAAGGUAUCUUUGGGUCUGGCUCUUGUCUAUGUUUCUUGGAACAGAACGUCACAGAGGGUGAGAAUCCCGUGCGAUGAGAUGUCCCAGACCUAUGUAAAGUUCCUUCGAAGAGUCGAGUUGUUUGGGAAUGCAGCUCUAAGUGGGUGGUAAAUUCCAUCUAAAGCUAAAUAUUGGCGAGAGACCGAUAGCGAACAAGUACAGUGAUGGAAAGAUGAAAAGAACUUUGAAAAGAGAGUGAAAAAGUACGUGAAAUUGUUGAAAGGGAAGGGCUUGAGAUCAGACUUGGUAUUUUGUAUGUUACUCUCUCGGGGGUGGCCUCUACAGUUUACCGGGCCAGCAUCAGUUUGAGCGGUAGGAUAAGUGCAAAGAAAUGUGGCACUGCUUCGGUAGUGUGUUAUAGUCUUUGUCGAUACUGCCAGCUUAGACUGAGGACUGCGGCUUCGGCCUAGGAUGUUGGCAUAAUGAUCUUAAGUCGCCCG
rnacentral:rRNA from 1 species